GACGAACGCUGGCGGCGUGCUUAACACAUGCAAGUCGAACGAAGAGCGAUGGAAGCUUGCUUCUAUCAAUCUUAGUGGCGAACGGGUGAGUAACGCGUAAUCAACCUGCCCUUCAGAGGGGGACAACAGUUGGAAACGACUGCUAAUACCGCAUACGAUCUAAUCUCGGCAUCGAGGAUAGAUGAAAGGUGGCCUCUACAUGUAAGCUAUCACUGAAGGAGGGGAUUGCGUCUGAUUAGCUAGUUGGAGGGGUAACGGCCCACCAAGGCGAUGAUCAGUAGCCGGUCUGAGAGGAUGAACGGCCACAUUGGGACUGAGACACGGCCCAGACUCCUACGGGAGGCAGCAGUGGGGAAUCUUCCGCAAUGGACGAAAGUCUGACGGAGCAACGCCGCGUGAGUGAUGACGGCCUUCGGGUUGUAAAGCUUCUGUUAAUCGGGACGAAAGGCCUUC
rnacentral:rRNA from 1 species